rnacentral:lncRNA from 1 species
AGUUACCUAUUUUAUUACAGAUUAUAUUAGUUAAGAAAACACAAGGGAUCAAAGAUACAUGGAAAGAGAUAAUUUUGCGGGUUCUAAUAAUGAUUCCACCAAAAAAACAUAUCUUCUGUUCUUCCUAUCUCUCUCAUAUCAAUAAUUAAUUGUUAUUUUACACUUUGCUAGGCCACUUGGUUACUGUGAUGUUGGAAAUCAGCUCACUGCUAUUACUUAUGCUAUGUACAAGAUAUGAGUUGACAUUUGACAUAUCAUUUAAAAACACUAUACAGUAGAACACAGUGGUUCUCUUAUUUUUUUAUUUUGUGUGAAUUCUCCAUAGAAGUACUAGUACUUCAAAUGUUCAUUGCAUAUAGGUGGAGGAACCCGACAGAAAGGCACAACUGCAUAAGUGAGAGCAACUGAAGUCAACAUCAGCUACUGGGGUCAUGCCUAGAUUGUUCCAAGUCUAUAUGAGUUAAAAAAAAUGGCAUUCACAAAUAAUAGUCCAUCUAGGUUUGUUCCAAGUCAAACCUUUUUUUUACCUUUGUACUAUCAAUAUUUAAGAUUCUUUAUAGAUUUCCAACAUAAGAUAAGCAUGCUAGACUGAUUAUGAACAAUAUUUUUCAUCAUAAACUAUACCUGUUUCAUUUAAGAUAUUGUAUUUCAUAGAUAAUGGUAGCCAUAGUGUCGUAUUAGAAAUCGUGUUGAUGCCUGAAUGGACUUAUAUUUCCGAUCAAAUGAAGUAUAAUCGGGGAGAAUUUUUCUACCUGGGUUCUGAAUUUGAAUAUGCUUCUCUCAACCAAAACCACUAGAUGCACCAUAAACCCGGUAAAAUUCCAAAAAAGAAUUUAAGAAACUUAACAUAAGAAAACCCGAUAUGCUGAUGACAUCCAUAUCAAGGAAGCCAGCCUGGAUGUAGCCC